CAAGAUGGCGGGUGAAUGGGGUCCAGCUCCUGGGGCACCCCCCUCCCCUUCAGCCGGAACCACCCCAGGAGUCCCGAGGACCCCCCCCCGCCCAUCCCUGAGUCCACCAGCCGCAGCCCCCUCGUAACUCCUUGUGUGUCUCUUGGUUUUCAGAGAUGCCCCUGUACUUUGUGGACUUGCAGGAUGACUUAGACGAUUAUGAAUUUGAGGACUAUGGCUCUGACUGCAAUGGCAUGAGGGUGACAGCUUUCUUGGACAUCCAGGCCAGGACAACCUGUCUCCCCUAGCUCAUCUGCAAAAGUAUGCUUUUUCAGCAGUCACAUCUUCAACUGAGCCCACAGUGCGGACUGAGCUGAUGGAGCAGAUUCCUCCUCUUGCCAUUUUUCUACAAGAAAACAGAUCAGAUUUUCCAGUGGUGCUCUCUGAAUGCCUCAUACCCGUCAUGGUGAAGUACCUCACAGAUACAGACAAUCAGAUAAUCUGCAAGCUGUCGUCAGUGCUGAGAAAGUGCACAGUUGAACGCCUGCUGUUCCCUCGAUUCUGUGAGCUGUGUGGCUACGGGAAGCUCUUUCAAGUUUGGAAGGUGGGAGCAUGUGGUUUCAAAACUCAGAAAGUUAAAACAUUCAAAAUCAAUUCCUUGAAAGUGCCUGGACUCCCUCAGUAGAUGCAGUCUGGAUGAAAAGCGCGGGCAGAGUGAACUGUGUAGGACAACAGUGAAUACCGCUGCCAGUUCUCCCGGCCACUCGGGCCCUGUGCUGAGACCUGUCGGCUUGUGCUUAGUCGCCGGGCCAGCAUGCAGGGCCUCUCACCGUCUGGGUUGAGGGGCUCUAGGACCCUCUUAGGUUAGUCGUCCCUUCUGACUGCACUCCCUGCUCUGCCCCCCCCUUUUAUGGCUGGUCGCUUGUUGUCAGAGUCUUCCUUCUGAAAGCAUUGCCUCCCUAGCCCUCUCCCCAUCCCCAGCAGCCUCCCCUUCCACCUUGCUGUGCAACUGCUCAUCUUCUCUAUGGCCUCUCCUCAUGACACGAUGCAGAGCCGAGGAGACAGGGCUCAUUACCUUGCAGAGAAUGUUAAGGGUCUCUUUUGCUCUGUUGCUAACCAGAUGCAUUAUGUAUUGAGACAAUUAGGAGCCAGAACGUCCUAGCGUGUGGUGCCCUGUUCUAAAUCUUCUGUUUCCGAUGCAGCAAAGGCGCCUGGGUGGUGCCGAGUGAGCGCCGGACUUGGUGAGUGCUACGAAUUUUGGUGGUAUUUGUCACGCUGCCAGACAAGAAGGCCCUGAACAGUUUUUGGUACGUGACAUUUUGCCAAUUGUCAUUGCCGAUGCACAUCUUAGGGCACUUUUGAAAUUAGUGGUAAAGUUUUGUCUUUAUGAGCCUGUUACUUUGGAACGGCAGCUCAAUUUUGCAUUCAUCAGUUUCAGGUUUCUUGACUCCAGGAGCUGAGGUUUCUCUUAAUCUCCGGGUGGCUGGUUGCGGGGUUGAGCAGGAGCAGCCCCCGCCUCUUUCCUGGGGGCUCCCGCUGUUGCUUCCUCACUGGUCACUUCCCCCAGUCUCUUCUUGCUGUCUAAGCCGCCCUCUCUGCUCCUUGCUGACUGCUCUUUCUGUAACACUGUCCACCACCUCGUUGCUGGGCUUCAGUACCUGUGGGACUUUCCUUGGUUUAUAGAUUAAAAUCCAGAUUCCCAUUUCCUACCCCCCAGCCCAGGUCCCUUCACAGGUGCCUUUCCUGUCUCACCUCCAUCACCUCCCUCAGGUCUGAUUGCUGCUCUAACCAUUGGUCAUGCAUGUAAAUCACGGGGAAGGCGAAAGAGGGGGUAUUUUUGAUAAAGUCCCCAGUGAUUCUUGGCACAGCAGGGUGGAGAACCAUGUCACUCUUUGGCUGGGGGGCUUUUCAGGGCCUCAAGGCUUUCUGCUCUCGCAUACCGCCUCUCUCCCCCACCUCCCCUGCUCAUUACUACCCACCUCCUUCCAGAGGCUUCGCUGUCUGGGGGGACCCUGCUUACAGUUCACACCCAGCUUGCAGGUGCAUUUGCUUUUUCCUUGUCUGGACUCACCCGCCGCUAUGUCAGAAUUAGUUUCUCCCUUCUCGGCAUUCUGUAGCAUUCUGUUCAGGUUAUGUCCCUCACACUCGUGUGUCCCUCACACUCCUCUUUACAGUGUCACUGAUGGGGGCCCUUCACCUAGUUGUGUUGGUCUGUUUCUUCACUGCCCACCGAGCACCAGGUCCCCAGAGAACUGUGCUCAGUAAGCACUUGCCACUUUUAUGUGACAGGGUGUAAUACCUGUAUGGUUUGAAUUUAACCUCAAAAAGUAUCAUCUUUAAGUUGGUUUUUAAAUUUAAGUUUAGAAGCUCAUUUUGUUCUAUUUAAACUAUAGCCAUUCAACAUAAUUCUGAAAUAAUUUUUAGUGGGCUGUUGCCAUGAGCACACAACGUUAUCUCCUAUAGUAGACAGGAGAAGAGCAGUGACCAACAUACUAAUUCUUCUGUAGGUGGAUAUUUCCACGAUCAUAUGUUUCUAUUUGUGAAGCAUUUUGGCUGAUUAUUUUACCUAAGGAUAUUAAAGACAGAGCCUUAUUUUUAAAGGGUAAAUUUAAAAAGAAGUCAUAAUCAUGACCUCCCUACAGACAUAAAAUGAAAACGGGUCAGAGCUUUUACUGAAUGCAUCGAUUAGUGAAGGAACCAGUAAGAUCCAACAACUAGCUUAACUGAAGUGCCAAAAGUUCACAGUCACACUGAGGAGGACCGACGUGAGCUUGUAAAUUGACUCACCACCAUCCAUAUCCAGGGUGGUGAUGUGAUGUGGAACCCAUUGCAUUCCAUCGCUCCCAGCUUGCCUUCUAUGGCUCCCAGCUUGCCUUCUAUGAAUAGGAACAGUUUGCAUUACUAUCAGGUUUUAAGAGUCUGCCCUCUAUGACUAAAAGGGAGACUGUGGCUCAGACAUAAAAAAAAAAAUCUGCCUGCAAUGCAGGUAAA